GAUGAACGCUGGCGGCGUGCCUAAUACAUGCAAGUCGAGCGAACAGACGAGGAGCUUGCUCCUCUGACGUUAGCGGCGGACGGGUGAGUAACACGUGGAUACCCUACCUAUAAGACUGGGAUAACUUCGGGAAACCGGAGCUAAUACCGGAUAAUAUAUUGAACCGCAUGGUUCAAUAGAGAAAGACGGUUUUGCUGUCACUUAUAGAUGGAUCCGAGCCGCAUUAGCUAGUUGGUAAGGUAACGGCUUACCAAGGCAACGAUGCGUAGCCGACCUGAGAGGGUGAUCGGCCACACUGGAACUGAGACACGGUCCAGACUCCUACGGGAGGCAGCAGUAGGGAAUCUUCGGCAAUGGGGGAAAGCCUGACGGAGCAACGCCGCGUGAGUGAUGAAGGUCUUCGGAUCGUAAAACUCUGUUAUUAGGGAAGAACAAAUGUGUAAGUACCUAUGCAGGUCUUGACGGUACCUGAUCAGAAAGCCACGGCUAACUACGUG
rnacentral:rRNA from 1 species